GACGAACGCUGGCGGCGUGCUUAACACAUGCAAGUCGAACGGAAAGGCCCUGCUUUUGUGGGGUGCUCGAGUGGCGAACGGGUGAGUAACACGUGAGUAACCUGCCCUUGACUUUGGGAUAACUUCAGGAAACUGGGGCUAAUACCGGAUAGGAGCUCCUGCUGCAUGGUGGGGGUUGGAAAGUUUCGGCGGUUGGGGAUGGACUCGCGGCUUAUCAGCUUGUUGGUGGGGUAGUGGCUUACCAAGGCUUUGACGGGUAGCCGGCCUGAGAGGGUGACCGGCCACAUUGGGACUGAGAUACGGCCCAGACGCCUACGGGAGGCAGCAGUGGGGAAUAUUGCACAAUGGGCGGAAGCCUGAUGCAGCAACGCCGCGUGCGGGAUGCCGGCCUUCGGGUUGUAAACCGCUUUCGCCUGUGACGAAGCGUGAGUGACGGUAAUGGGUAAAGAAGCACCGGCUAACUACGUG
rnacentral:rRNA from 1 species